rnacentral:rRNA from 1 species
GACGAACGCUGGCGGCGUGCCUAAUACAUGCAAGUCGAGCGGACGGAUGGGAGCUUGCUCCCAGACCGUCAGCGGCGGACGGGUGAGUAACACGUGGGCAACCUGCCUGUAAGACUGGGAUAACUCCGGGAAACCGGGGCUAAUACCGGAUAACUCUUUCCCUCACAUGAGGGAAAGCUGAAAGAUGGCAUCUCGCUAUCACUUACAGAUGGGCCCGCGGCGCAUUAGCUAGUUGGUGAGGUAACGGCUUACCAAGGCGACGAUGCGUAGCCGACCUGAGAGGGUGAUCGGCCACACUGGAACUGAGACACGGCCCAGACUCCUACGGGAGGCAGCAGUAGGGAAUCUUCCGCAAUGGACGAAAGUCUGACGGAGCAACGCCGCGUGAGUGAUGAAGGUUUUCGGAUCGUAAAACUCUGUUGUCAGGGAAGAACAAAUACCGGAGUAACUGCCGGUACCUUGACGGUACCUGAUCAGAAAGCCACGGCUAACUACGUG